AGAGUUUGAUCAUGGCUCAGGACGAACGCUGGCCGCGUGCCUAAUACAUGCAAGUAGAACGCUGAAGACUGGUGCUUGCACUAGUCAGAUGAGUUGCGAACGGGUGAGUAACGCGUAGGUAACCUACCUCAUAGCGGGGGAUAACUAUUGGAAACGAUAGCUAAUACCGCAUGACAAUUAAGUACUCAUGUACUAAAUUUAAAAGGAGCAAUUGCUUCACUAUGAGAUGGACCUGCGUUGUAUUAGCUAGUUGGUGAGGUAACGGCUCACCAAGGCCACGAUACAUAGCCGACCUGAGAGGGUGAUCGGCCACACUGGGACUGAGAUACGGCCCAGACUCCUACGGGAGGCAGCAGUAGGGAAUCUUCGGCAAUGGGGGCAACCCUGACCGAGCAACGCCGCGUGAGUGAAGAAGGUUUUCGGAUCGUAAAGCUCUGUUGUUAGAGAAGAACGGUAAUGGGAGUGGAAAAUCCAUUACGUGACGGUAACUAACCAGAAAGGGACGGCUAACUACGUGCCAGCAGCCGCGGUAAUACGUAGGUCUCGAGCGUUGUCCGGAUUUAUUGGGCGUAAAGCGAGCGCAGGCGGUUAUUUAAGUCUGAAGUUAAAGGCCGUGGCUCAACCAUGGUUCGCUUUGGAAACUGGAUAACUUGAGUGCAGAAGGGGGGAGUGGAAUUCCAUGUGUAGCGGUGAAAUGCGUAGAUAUAUGGAGGAACACCGGUGGCGAAAGCGGCUCUCUGGUCUGUAACUGACGCUGAGGCUCGAAAGCGUGGGGAGCAAACAGGAUUAGAUACCCUGGUAGUCCACGCCGUAAACGAUGAGUGCUAGGUGUUAGGCCCUUUCCGGGGCUUAGUGCCGCAGCU
rnacentral:rRNA from 1 species